rnacentral:rRNA from 1 species
AUUGAACGCUGGCGGCAGGCCUAACACAUGCAAGUCGAACGGUAGCACAGAGAGCUUGCUCUCGGGUGACGAGUGGCGGACGGGUGAGUAAUGUCUGGGAAACUGCCCGAUGGAGGGGGAUAACUACUGGAAACGGUAGCUAAUACCGCAUAACGUCUUCGGACCAAAGUGGGGGACCUUCGGGCCUCACACCAUCGGAUGUGCCCAGAUGGGAUUAGCUAGUAGGUGGGGUAAUGGCUCACCUAGGCGACGAUCCCUAGCUGGUCUGAGAGGAUGACCAGCCACACUGGAACUGAGACACGGUCCAGACUCCUACGGGAGGCAGCAGUGGGGAAUAUUGCACAAUGGGCGCAAGCCUGAUGCAGCCAUGCCGCGUGUAUGAAGAAGGCCUUCGGGUUGUAAAGUACUUUCAGCGGGGAGGAAGGCGGUGGAGUUAAUAGCUUCAUCGAUUGACGUUACCCGCAGAAGAAGCACCGGCUAACUCCGUGCCAGCCGCCGCAGUAA